UUUCCGUAGGAGAACCUGCGGAAGGAUCAUUCAUAAUAAAGUGUUUUAUGGCACUUUUUAAAAAUCCAUAUCCACCUUGUGUGCAAUGUUAGAUCUCGUCAAUCUUGGCGAGAUUUUUAUACAUCAACUCAUUCUUUAACUAAUUUGUCUGAAAAAUAUUAUGAAUACUUAAUUCAAAAUACAACUUUCAACAACGGAUCUCUUGGCUCUC
rnacentral:misc_RNA from 1 species